AUGCUUUUCUGUAAUUAAUUGAAAUAAUUCAUAGCUGCAGCUUCUAUAAUUAUUUGUCGGACUAAAACAUACAUAUAUUAUAUAUUCAUUAUGUAUAUAUACUUAUGUAGAGUCUAAGAAAAUUAUAUUUUCUAUUUUAUGAUUUUCUAUGUUUUACUAUGAUUUUUCAAAGAUUUACCCAAAUAAAUAAAUAAAAGAAAAGGACAAAACCUUUAUAAUAAAAACUUUGUACUAAAACAUACCAUAUUAUAUGUGUACUACGUAGAUCUACUUGUGUGUAAUCCAAAAAAAUUAGAUAUUCUAUUUUAUGAAUUUUCUAUGAUUUACUAUGAUUUUUCAAAGAUUCAGUCGAAAUAAUUAAAAAAAGAAAAAUACAAAACCAUUGUUACUGUAAUAAAACCACUAUUCACGGUAGCAAAACCGUCUUCGAAACCGCUCUAGGGAGGUAAAAUGCGUGGUUUAAAAAGUUGAAAGAGAUGAUUUGCCCGGUUUUAAAAUUAAGGAAAAAAAAGCUGAUUUUGGUGAAAGUUGGGGAAGAAAAAGUAAACUUUUUCUAUCUCCAAAGGCCACUUCCGAUUAAUUGUGUUCUUGUCGGACUGUCUUUCCCUCUCUUUUUUUUUUUCUGUUUUUGCGUGUUUUCUUUUUUUCCAUUUUUGCACGGUAGCGAAGGCAGAAUAAUAAGGAUAAGAAAAAAUCUGGUGUAAAACAGAAAAGUGGACUCGUAACUUUAUCUUUGGAUAAAGAUUCCAACACUAAAUUAUUGCUAUGUCUUUUUAUUUUCUUUCACAAAAGUCAUCCUAUUUGAGCAUUAGCUGGUGGUGGUUCAACUAGCCCGCCUAAUAACCAAACAAAUUAAAGCAGUACCCUUUAUUCUAGAACUCAAAUUUUGUCCUCAAAUAUAAUACACUCUAAGGAUAAAAAUCAGUUUUACAUUAAAUACUUUUCAUUCGUCAAUCAAUCACCAUUAAUCGCGUUGAUAAUAGCAUUUGAUUAGAAAAUAAAACCAUAGUAUAUGCGUCUUUUAUGCUCUCCCUUAAUUUGUCUUACAUUAUUAGAAUGUACUCUAUUAUAGGAUAGAAAAUAAGCAAUAAACCAAGCGUCUUUUGUCUAUACAUCGGGCAUGCCAUCUUCAUCAAGGGUUGUAGCAUAGAGAAUAAGUAGAGUUAGUCGCCUCAUACAAGGUGAGUGGAAAGAGACACAAGCGAAUUACCCUAACUACCGAUAACUAAAGGUGUGAAAAGAUGGUUCUACGCUUGGACUCGCAGUUUCAUCAUUUCUCUAGAUUUUCUCUCCAAACUGUAUGUCUUCUUCUCCACCAACUCCAAACCAUACGAGCCCCUCCCUCCUACACCGC
rnacentral:lncRNA from 1 species